CCUACGGGAGGCAGCAGUGAGGAAUAUUGGUCAAUGGACGAGAGUCUGAACCAGCCAAGUAGCGUGAAGGAUGACUGCCCUAUGGGUUGUAAACUUCUUUUAUAUGGGAAUAAAAUGUUCCACGUGUGGGAUUUUGUAUGUACCAUAUGAAUAAGGAUCGGCUAACUCCGUGCCAGCAGCCGCGGUAAUACGGAGGAUCCGAGCGUUAUCCGGAUUUAUUGGGUUUAAAGGGAGCGUAGGUGGAUUGUUAAGUCAGUUGUGAAAGUUUGCGGCGCAACCGUAAAAUUGCAGUUGAAAAUGGCAGUCUGGAGUACAGUAGAGGUGGGCGGAAUUCGUGGUGUAGCGGUGAAAUGCUUAGAUAUCACGAAGAACUCCGAUUGCGAAGGCAGCUCACUGGACUGCAACUGACACUGAGGCUCGAAAGUGUGGGUAUCAAACAGGAUUAGAUACCCUAGUAGUC
rnacentral:rRNA from 1 species